AGCGAACGCUGGCGGCAGGCCUAACACAUGCAAGUCGAACGGAUCCUUCGGGAUUAGUGGCGGACAGGUGAGUAACACGUGGGAACGUGCCCUUUGGUUCGGAACAACUCAGGGAAACUUGAGCUAAUACCGGAUGUGCCCUUCGGGGGAAAGAUUUAUCGCCAUUGGAGCGGCCCGCGUCUGAUUAGCUAGUUGGUGAGGUAACGGCCCACCAAGGCGACGAUCAGUAGCUGGUCUGAGAGGAUGAUCAGCCACACUGGGACUGAGACACGGCCCAGACUCCUACGGGAGGCAGCAGUGGGGAAUCUUGCGCAAUGGGCGAAAGCCUGACGCAGCCAUGCCGCGUGAAUGAUGAAGGUCUUAGGAUUGUAAAAUUCUUUCAGCGGGGACGAUAAUGACGGUACCCGCAGAAGAAGCUCCGGCUAACUUCGUG
rnacentral:rRNA from 1 species